AUUGAACGCUGGCGGCAGGCCUAACACAUGCAAGUCGAGCGGAUGAAGGGAGCUUGCUCCUGGAUUCAGCGGCGGACGGGUGAGUAAUGCCUAGGAAUCUGCCUGGUAGUGGGGGAUAACGUCCGGAAACGGGCGCUAAUACCGCAUACGUCCUGAGGGAGAAAGUGGGGGAUCUUCGGACCUCACGCUAUCAGAUGAGCCUAGGUCGGAUUAGCUAGUUGGUGGGGUAAAGGCCUACCAAGGCGACGAUCCGUAACUGGUCUGAGAGGAUGAUCAGUCACACUGGAACUGAGACACGGUCCAGACUCCUACGGGAGGCAGCAGUGGGGAAUAUUGGACAAUGGGCGAAAGCCUGAUCCAGCCAUGCCGCGUGUGUGAAGAAGGUCUUCGGAUUGUAAAGAACUUUAAGUUGGGAGGAAGGGUAGUAAGUUAAUACCUUGCUGUUUUGACGUUACCAACAGAAUAAGCACCGGCUAACUUCGUG
rnacentral:rRNA from 1 species